AUGGAGGCGAGGGGGAAGAAGCGGAAAGGAGAGGUUGAGCUGUCACACCCUGCCUUGGAAAGGGAGAUUGUUCCAACCACGUCACCUCUACCAAUCGCUAUCCGCCGAUCCACUCUGGAGUCCGGCGAGGGCUCCUCCGAGUCGGUCGCCUCGGACACGGGCACCGCCAAGGCUCUAGCCGACGACGUCGUGCACAUCGCCAAUGCCCUCUGUACGGUGUGUGCCAAGUCCCCCAAAGCCGUUAUCGAGUUCGUGCGUCGAAUGAGCCUUGCCACCAUGUCCGAACCGCGUGGUCGCUGGACCGAUUUCGAGCUGCGUGUGUUUCUUGAGUGUUGCUUGGAGGAGAUGGCGGCAUACAACAACACCUCGAACUCCCCCAAACCCAAGGCAUGGGAGAACUUGGCGAAGAAAAUGUUCACCAAGUGCAGGAAGAAGGUGACAAAAGGGCAAUUGGAGUACAUCUGGGGCAGUGCAAAGAAGCGGUUCCAGCUGUGGGUGUGGCUUGAAUCGCAGGCAACCGGACAAGGCCGGGACCCCCUUACUUCAGCCAUUGUCACUGACGAAAGCUGGUGGGAAAGCCAAAAUGGGGUGAGGAAGGGUGUGAUAGCCUUCAAAAACGAUCCCCUGAAGCACAUUGAUCUUCAUCAUGCGGUGUUUAGCAUGCGCACCGUUGUCCGCAACCAUUCCGCCGUCGCUGGGGCUGCCCAAGGCACGCCGCAACAACCCGUUCAGUGGCAGCCCAUUGAUGUCGAGCAGCUCACAGCAGCGUACACUCCUCCACCACCGGCGCUGUCUCCAUCAAAGGACAGUAUGCUCAGAGCAGUGGUAGGAAAAAGGAAGGCAUCAGAGGGUGAUGCCUCUGGAAGUUCUAAUAAGCGGUCCUGCAGCAGUGGUACUGGCGAGACGCUUGAUAGGCUCGCUACCCUGCGCAUGGCGUCCUUGGAGAGCCGCGCAAGGGAACUAGCUGCAGCGAAGGCUACCGGCCCUGAGACUUGCAUGGAGAUGGUGGAAAAUGAUGGCCACCGUCCAGGUAGUCCAGUGUGGUAUAUGGCUGCGCGCUUGCUACGUGAUGCAAGCAAUGGCCACUGCUUUAUGUUCGCGCGCCUCACAGACGCAGCUGGGCACUUGCAAUAUAUUUUAACUAGUGAAAACGGGCCUGGUUCUGCAUCUGGUGGUUCGCAGUAGUUCCUUCUAU
rnacentral:lncRNA from 1 species